rnacentral:lncRNA from 1 species
GAAUGCUAGUUUGCACGAAGAUCUUCUUCUUGGCUGAUCCAGGUCUUUUCUUCAAAUCUCUAGAAUCUUUUUCAAAGGUUGAAGAUGAACUUCUAGAGGAGAUGAAGAGGUGGAAGAAAUAUGGAGAGGAGACUAUCUUUUCUUUUCUUUUUCUCUCUUCCCAAAGGCUUAGGACCAAAAUCCUAGAAACUAGAUUUUGCGCACACCCA